UUUCGGCUUUGAUAUCGCAGUUUCAUUCCAGUGAAGUUUGCCCAAAAAGUUGUUACUGCUCUACUAGUGCCGUCCAAUUGGUUUUGACGCCCUAUGAACUGAAGUGGAUGGGUUCUGGGCCUGCAGUAUAUUACGGAUAUUAGCUGAUGCCACAUUUUAGUGAUUGGCUAAGUUGCGAAUUGGGAUUGUUUAAUGUAAGUUUCUUAUGACAAGCAAGGCUUUUGCCGCAUUGAAAGGUUUUAGGCAUCUCCGGGGGUUAAAGGAUUAUUCUGUUGUUCAGCUUUCUUUGCAGUGAACUGGGUUUGUUUGGUUUCGAUUUGUUGCUUGAAAUCGUGAGGGAGAAAUUAGGGCUCCGAAAUGCUUGAGCCUGCGUUCUGUUCUGGUGGGUUUGCAAGGAGUCGUCAAGAAGGUCGUGGGUCUCGGUGGUUGGCAUUGACUGGUAUGUCUUUUUAUGCCAUUUUCCUCUCUUCAUUGCGUACCUGUUACCUAGGAGUAAAAUUUACCAGCAGUGAACCUGUGCCAUGCACAAGAAUUUUCAUUUAAUUUCUAUUCUUUAAAUUAGACUAGCUAUCACAACCGUAAAAUUAGGAUAGCCAUUUUUCAUCAACCCGAAAAUAGAUCUAAGUAGAUAUUUUAGAGUUAACAAUCAAUUUAGAAAAAUGGUUAGCCAAUAGGAUGUUUUAAAAUACUUUUUAAUUAGAUGUUUUAAAUUCAAAAAAUAAUUUAGGGCAUUAAUCAUUAUAGCAAAGUCAUAAAAAAAUAUUUCUAUAUUAUUAUAUAAUUAUUGCCGAGCGACUUGUCAUGAGAAGGUCGUGAGAGCUCCAUUCACUUCUUUUAAACAACAUAUCAUGAGUAAGGUCGGGUGUGAGAUCCAUUCACUUCUUUUUUAAACAACAGAAAACAAUUUAAAUAUCAUCUUAUAUAAAAAAUUAUAUUAAUGAGUAAUUUGAAUAUAGUUUAUUUGACUUAUGUUUUGAACCAAUAUAAAAAUAGAUUAUUCAAUUCAAAUAGAAGUAUUUAAAGUAUUCCCAAUAUUUAUAUAUCAUACCAUGUUAUUGAUUUUUUUACAUUUUAAAAUAGUUUUCAAAGACUACUAUGAAUAUCUCAUUUUAAAAACGGAGUUAUUUGUUUUUGGAUAUUACAUUAUUAACGUGAUGUAUAUUUUUAUCACAGUUUUUUUUCUAGUUUUGUUUUAUUUUUUUUUUUUAAGUACAGAUUUUAUUCAAAACAAUAAAGAAUGACUUGAUUGAAAUUUUGUUUUCUCAUGAACAUCUGGACUGAAUAUUUGCCCUAAGAAUCCAUAAUUUUUUUAGUUUCCAUAACAGGGACAAAGGAAAUAAACUAAGCAUGGGAAGAAAAAAUUUCUCGCUGUAGUUUUUUACAGGGUUGAUUUAUGACAAAUUAAUGUUUUAAACGUACCUUUUAAAGCGUUUUAAUUCUGUAAAAAGGUUUGGUGGAUGUAAUAUGGUUUAAAACCAGUCAUUGUUUCCUUGAUAAUUUUGGAUUCUUGGUUUCCUAUUUACUAAGGAACUUAUCAAUAUGAGUUAAAAAUAGAAGUUAUAAAAAAAAAAAAAAAAUUCCUUUAAUCUUUUCCAUUCUUUGUUUAGCAAUAAAAUAGAUAGAUCCUGGCUAGGGUUCUGGUAGCAUUGGAAAAAGACUAUCCAGAAUCAAUUCCAACAUGGAUUGGGCGAAGGUCCAGUUGGGUUAAUAAGCGUUUUUUGUGGUAUUUUAUUGGGGACAAUUGAUGCAGGAUUUUUUCUAGAAAGUAGAAAUUUGGUUGGGUUGAUUUUUUUUAACUAGAUCUAGGUUUUAGAUGAGAGGGAGAUUCAACGAUUUAACCAAAACACAAAAAAGGCCCGCGUUUGCCGAAAUUUUUUGUUUGGCUUGUGUUUUUACUAAAACAAUCCUAGUUUUUGUUUUCUUGCUAGUUUGGCUUGUUUUUUUUUAUCGAGCAAUGUUUUUUAACUUAGUUUUUCAGGUCGGUUUGACCUAGAUUUUUUAGUAAACCCAGAUUUGAAAAGUUGGUUUAUAUCUCACAUUUUAUAUUUUAGAUCAAAAGUGAAAACAUUACGAUUUUUUAACUAGGUCAAACGGGGCCUAAGUCUGGCUUUCCAACCAUUACUAUUUAUUAUUUUUUAUGUUUUAUAUUAUUUGCACGUGCUGGUAUGCAUGAGGCAGGGGUGUGUGCGAAUAUACAUAAUAAGUCGCCAAAAAAUCUAGUAGGUUAAUGAUAUAUUAGGCUGUUAAUCCCUGGCCUGCUCUUCUUUUUUUUUUUAUGUAUAAUUUAGUACUUCCUUCUUGUAAUAGGAUUAUAUAACGUUUCCAAUUUCUAGAUAUAGUUGUUCUUCAUUCAGGUUAUGUAUCGAAUACGGAUUUAUCAAGGUUUUAAAGACGGAGCUGAAGUGAAGCUGCAGAGGAUGGCUCUGAGUGUUGUGGAGCCUCCCACCGGAAUGAAGAAAAUGGCG
rnacentral:lncRNA from 1 species